rnacentral:rRNA from 1 species
AUGCUACAUGCAAUUGAGAGCAAUGCCCCAGAUAUCUCUACUGUCGACCUUGAACUUGGCGACCAAGUGGAUUUCUCACUCUCACUGGGAGAUGGUUCAUCUCAAGUGAAGCAGCUCCGAAUAACACCUGCAUCCCCAAGUUACGCUCUCGGCAAGCUUCCAUCAAUCACACCCGGUGUUGAAGUCCUUGACAUAUUGUUGUUGCCACACGAGGUGAGCACACCAAUGGUGCCCGGCAAAUUCCAACACCUCAAGUACUUGAAUAUUUCUCUCCCUGCUGUCUCGGCAGCAGAUGAAUAUGAUUAUUUGUCUCUGUUAGCUUUUCUUGAUGCUUCUCCUGCCUUGGAGACUCUCGUCUUGAGCUCAGCGAGCAUUAUGAACUGUGUUAACAGAGGCUACGGUCGGAUUCAUCGCGAUGUUUCACAUUUGGCGCGGGCGCAAGAGUUUCGCCAUGGCAGCCUCAAGAACGUGACGAUAUAUAGUUUUUACUCGGCUGAGAGCAUGAUUGAGCUAACCUGUCGUAUGCUGAAGCACACGGCUUCGCUUGAGUGCCUGACGUUGGACACCACCCAUGGUUACUCUAGGUGUUCCUCAUGCAGAAGCGGCAGGUGCUUCCCCAUGGACGCGCGUGAUGUCCUACAGGCCCAGAAAUCGCUCGUGGCUAUAAGAAGAUACAUCAAGCCCGAAGUACCCUGUAAUGUCAACUUGAUUGUUGUUGAGCCUUGCAGUUCCUGUCAUGCGAGCGCUAACUGA